UACAGAGGGGGCAAGCGUUGUUCGGAAUUACUGGGCGUAAAGGGCGCGUAGGCGGCCUGUUAAGUCGAACGUGAAAUCCCCGGGCUCAACCCGGGAACUGCGUCCGAUACUGGCAGGCUUGAAUCCGGGAGAGGGAUGCGGAAUUCCAGGUGUAGCGGUGAAAUGCGCAGAUAUCAGGAGGAACACCGGUGGCGAAGGCGGUUCUCUGGGCAUGUCCUGACGCUGAGGAGCGAAAGUGUGGGGAGCGAACAGG
rnacentral:rRNA from 1 species